rnacentral:sRNA from 2 species
ACACAACAGAAAAAGUUAUAGGUAAUGGAAGUUUGGUGCAAAUCCAACACGGUCCCGCCACUGUGAUAGAUCGUUCACUCGAUCUUAAGUCAGGUCUUUUGCCUAGUAACUUUGCUGGAUCAGCUGCUUCGAGGCGAAAGUGGCUGGUUGUU